rnacentral:rRNA from 1 species
GCCCAGCCUCUCCCUCCCUCUCUUCCUCUCGUCGUCUUUCACGCCCUCGUCCGCGGGCCUCUGCCUCUCGCUCACCUACUCGCUCCUCCCCGCGACCUCCUUCUCCUCCGCGCACCUAGGACCGUCCCUCCCAGGUCUAGGCCAGCUCCCGCCCCGCUGGCCGCCGCCGCCGCCGAAGUUGAGGCCCCACCGUUCAAACGAAGGACUCUCUCGUUUCUCACUCGACUCUCUGUACCUCUCUCUCGUGCCCUCCCUUCCUCUUACCUUCUCCCUCCGCCCGGCACCAACCAAGAGGCCGCCGUGACCUAGCCACGUGCCCGCGCCUCGAGGACGACCCCUGCGCUUCUAGGUCCCUCCGUGAGCCCACGCUCCGACGCCCAGUUACGUCUCUACCGCGACGAGGACGUUGAAACUUCUUCCGCGGCUCUGCAGUAGAUGUAGGCGUCCAGAACGAGGGGUUUUAGGUGGGGAAGAAAAGAAACCAGGUUAGACCUGACAAUUAAGGCAGUUCUCCACACUCAGUAGCAAAAUGACCUACGAGAGAGCUAGCAAAGAAGGAUACCUAAAACACCCAUCGUUUUACAAGAGAGCCAUACCUAGACUGAGAAUACUUUGUGAAGAAUCUGUCCUGCACGCUAAAACUAUCUUAAAAGAUACUUAAAACGCUUUUAAAUACAAUAUAUCGUACGAAGUCAUUAAGAAAAUCGAGUUCGAUCGAGGGAACCACUAAGAAAAGUUACUUUCUGGACGAGAGGUUAUACACCAAACCAUAAAGAACUGACGUUCAUAAAUCGUGGAUGUUGACUUGACUUCUGGUCGUUCAUAAAUUCUUUGUGUAUACAAACCAUGCGUACACAAUAUUGGUGUAGUCGUUUCAAAGACGUGUAGUACUAAUUCCCCACUUCUUUAGUACAAACGGUUACCGGUAGCUAAUUUGGUGUCAUAAAAGGUACUUGACACCAUUGAGAACGGAUAUUUUUGUCGUACUUUUUUUUAUCAAAACGAAGUCCACUUAAAAACGAAUAGUAAACACCAAAGGAUUGUUCUAACAAGUAGUAUAGGUGAACACGUCCAUGGUAUUGGUCUCAGUGAAUAAGCCGUACCAAAAUAUGACCUUAAUUGGUGUAUUGAUUAAAACAAAAUGGUGGAACUGCGGAAGUCAAUGUAUCCUGAAGACAGUUACGGGUUGGCUAUUACUUGCCAAUGUUAAAAUAUCUACCAAGUUCACUUCGACACGUUUCACUUAGUUAAGACGUUCGUUGGUACAGUAUGUAAAAAGGAACCAUCUUAAUUGUACAUAUCUAGUAGAAUAACACAUGUCGUUCAGUUGUUAUGUAACAAACAUAUAGUAACGAAACCAGUUAAAGACGGUAACUCGAAGACACUUUUACACUGGUCCUUGAUUGAUACACCAUUAAGUCAUAUCUUAGACUGUGAUUUAUUAUGAGGUAGGCGAGUGAUUACAUUCUGGAAAAUCGAAAAAGAACUAGCCAAAGAGAAGAAGUCAACAACCGACAGCAGUUGUUAAAAAGAACUUGGUUCAUGAAACGUGGUAUAAAACUUGAAAGAUUAAAACAAGGUACUGUAGAAAAACGUUGGAAGGUAAGUUUUAAUCCAGGCCUCCGGAAGUCUACCGUUAUUUAAAAUGGAAACAAACAAGUACGAAGUACUUAAAAUCUAAGACUGUCCAAACCCAGGUAGAUAUUGUACGAACUGGCCCGCUAGUGCGCCGGCAGCUCGUGAGAAUAGAUGACCAGUAUUCGAGAAUGGUUGAUUCCCACACCUCUUCAUAGCAAGUCUUUCCUCUAUGUCACCAGCUACGGUGGACGCCCUUACAGUUGCUAUGCGAGCGAGACGAGACGAGUUCUACCACCGACUACUUUCGCCCGCUCCCGCAAAGAUACCUAACCUGUAGGUUCUGAGGCGCUAUCUGUCGUGAAGGAGAAAAGACUUUUACCGGCAGCUGUCGGUACUCUCCCUCGAUCAGUUUAACAAAACGUAUACAGUGUCAUCUUACCUCCUAUAGUAAGGUUUUCUAAGAGGACACUCCGAACAUCGUAAGUUAGACCCGAUGGAAGGUCCUCCUCUAUUUGUUUAUUAGUGUCAUGGACUCUGUUGACUCGACCGUGAUGUUCGACGGUCGUCUUAACAACCGAGUCCCCCUGAGUAUUCACAGGAACAGAUGUAACCCGUAGACCCACCUUCCCUACUUGAGCUAUAACAACUUAGUAAACGCAGUUCGAACGGACGACUAUGUACCCACUCGACGUUCAAACUUUACUAAUUGUCCGGUUAACGAGGUCAUGAUCAAGAGGAUGUGUUUUCUACUAGUGUUAGGGUGACUUCGAGGUGUUCAAACCCUGAGGGAUAAGACCUAAAGGCCAACUACUUACUUUACGGCGUUACGUAUGACACUACGACUAAAAGACUAAUACCAAUUAAUCAAUCUCUUUCUUUAAGACACUUCCGAUGUCAAUUGACAUUGGCCUACUAAUGUUACAAGAACACUAACGACUGUUCUUAAAAUGAGUUGGUUUAUAGCAAAAUAAUUCCACAAGGGGCAGAACAAAAAGUACACGUCAAAG